UACGGGGGGAGCAAGCGUUGUUCGGAUUUACUGGGCGUAAAGGGCGCGUAGGCGGCCACCGCAAGUCGACUGUGAAAUCUCCGGGCUUAACCCGGAAAGGUCAGCCGAUACUGCGGGGCUAGAGUGCAGAAGGGGCAACUGGAAUUCUCGGUGUAGCGGUGAAAUGCGUAGAUAUCGAGAGGAACACCUGCGGCGAAGGCGACUACCUGGCCUGUUUCUUGACGCUGGAGGCGCGAAAGCUAGGGGAGCAAACGGG
rnacentral:rRNA from 1 species